GGUCUGGUGGUCUAGUGGUAUGAUUCUCGCUUAGGGCCUUACCCUAUAGCACGCUUGCGAGAGGUCCCGGGUUCAAUCCCCGGCCAGACCC